rnacentral:rRNA from 1 species
UUAUUUGUGCAACGCGAAGAACCUUUCCAAGGCUUGACUUACACCAGAACACCGUAGAAAUACGGGACUCUUUUGGCACUGGUGAAACAGGUGGUGCAUGGUUGUCGUCAGCUCGUGUCGUGAGAUGUUGGGUUAAGUCCCGCAACGAGCGCAACCCUCGUUUUAUGUUGCCAGCACGUAAUGGUGGGAACUCAUGGGAUACUGCCGGGGUCAACUCGGAGGAAGGUGGGGAUGACGUCAAAUCAUCAUGCCCCUUAUGUCUUGGGCUUCACGCAUGCUACAAUGGCCGGUACAAAGGGCUGCAAUACCGUGAGGUGGAGCGAAUCCCAAAAAGCCGGUCCCAGUUCGGAUUGAGGUCUGCAACUCGACCUCAUGAAGUCGGAGUCGCUAGUAAUCGCAGAUCAGCAACGCUGCGGUGAAUACGUUCCCGGGUCUUGUACACACCGCCCGUCAAGUCAUGAAAGUCGGUAACAUCUGAAGCCGCCGGGCCACCC